GACGAACGCUGGCGGCGUGCCUAAUACAUGCAAGUAGAACGCUGAAGGGAGAGCUUGCUCUUCUGGAUGAGUUGCGAACGGGUGAGUAACGCGUAGGUAACCUGCCUGGUAGCGGGGGAUAACUAUUGGAAACGAUAGCUAAUACCGCAUAACAUUGACUAUUGCAUGAUAGUUAAUUGAAAGGUGCAAAUGCACCACUACCAGAUGGACCUGCGUUGUAUUAGCUAGUUGGUGGGGUAACGGCUCACCAAGGCGACGAUACAUAGCCGACCUGAGAGGGUGAUCGGCCACACUGGGACUGAGACACGGCCCAGACUCCUACGGGAGGCAGCAGUAGGGAAUCUUCGGCAAUGGACGGAAGUCUGACCGAGCAACGCCGCGUGAGUGAAGAAGGUUUUCGGAUCGUAAAGCUCUGUUGUAAGAGAAGAACGAGUG
rnacentral:rRNA from 1 species